CAACCCUCAAGCUCUGCUUGGUAUUAGGCUUCACCCUCAGGGCGGGCUUUAAAAUCAGUGGCGGUGCCAUUCGGCUUCAAGCGUAGUAAUUCUUCUCGCUUUGGAGGUCCGGCUGUGUGCCUGCCAGCAAUCCCAAUUUUUUAAA
rnacentral:misc_RNA from 1 species